ACAAUGAAGAGUUUGAUCCUGGCUCAGGAUGAACGCUAGCUACAGGCUUAACACAUGCAAGUCGAGGGGCAGCAUUUCAGUUUGCUUGCAAACUGGAGAUGGCGACCGGCGCACGGGUGAGUAACACGUAUCCAACCUGCCGAUAACUCGGGGAUAGCCUUUCGAAAGAAAGAUUAAUACCCGAUGGUAUAAUCAGACCGCAUGGUCUUGUUAUUAAAGAAUUUCGGUUAUCGAUGGGGAUGCGUUCCAUUAGGCAGUUGGUGAGGUAACGGCUCACCAAACCUUCGAUGGAUAGGGGUUCUGAGAGGAAGGUCCCCCACAUUGGAACUGAGACACGGUCCAAACUCCUACGGGAGGCAGCAGUGAGGAAUAUUGGUCAAUGGGCGCAGGCCUGAACCAGCCAAGUAGCGUGAAGGAUGACUGCCCUAUGGGUUGUAAACUUCUUUUAUAUGGGAAUAAAGUUUUCCACGUGUGGAAUUUUGUAUGUACCAUAUGAAUAAGGAUCGGCUAACUCCGUGCCAGCAGCCGCGGUAAUACGGAGGAUCCGAGCGUUAUCCGGAUUUAUUGGGUUUAAAGGGAGCGUAGGUGGACAGUUAAGUCAGUUGUGAAAGUUUGCGGCUCAACCGUAAAAUUGCAGUUGAUACUGGCUGUCUUGAGUACAGUAGAGGUGGGCGGAAUUCGUGGUGUAGCGGUGAAAUGCUUAGAUAUCACGAAGAACUCCGAUUGCGAAGGCAGCUCACUGGACUGCAACUGACACUGAUGCUCGAAAGUGUGGGUAUCAAACAGGAUUAGAUACCCUGGUAGUCCACACAGUAAACGAUGAAUACUCGCUGUUUGCGAUAUACAGUAAGCGGCCAAGCGAAAGCAUUAAGUAUUCCACCUGGGGAGUACGCCGGCAACGGUGAAACUCAAAGGAAUUGACGGGGGCCCGCACAAGCGGAGGAACAUGUGGUUUAAUUCGAUGAUACGCGAGGAACCUUACCCGGGCUUAAAUUGCAUUUGAAUAUAUUGGAAACAGUAUAGUCGUAAGACAAAUGUGAAGGUGCUGCAUGGUUGUCGUCAGCUCGUGCCGUGAGGUGUCGGCUUAAGUGCCAUAACGAGCGCAACCCUUAUCUUUAGUUACUAACAGGUCAUGCUGAGGACUCUAGAGAGACUGCCGUCGUAAGAUGUGAGGAAGGUGGGGAUGACGUCAAAUCAGCACGGCCCUUACGUCCGGGGCUACACACGUGUUACAAUGGGGGGUACAGAAGGCAGCUACCUGGUGACAGGAUGCUAAUCCCAAAAGCCUCUCUCAGUUCGGAUCGAAGUCUGCAACCCGACUUCGUGAAGCUGGAUUCGCUAGUAAUCGCGCAUCAGCCAUGGCGCGGUGAAUACGUUCCCGGGCCUUGUACACACCGCCCGUCAAGCCAUGAAAGCCGGGGGUACCUGAAGUACGUAACCGCAAGGAGCGUCCUAGGGUAAAACUGGUAAUUGGGGCUAAGUCGUAACAAGGUAGCCGUACCGGAAGGUGCGGCUGGAACACCUCCUUU
rnacentral:rRNA from 1 species